CGGGACACGUGGUAUCCUGUCUGAAUAUGGGGGGACCAUCCUCCAAGGCUAAAUACUCCUGACUGACCGAUAGUGAACCAGUACCGUGAGGGAAAGGCGAAAAGAACCCCGGCGAGGGGAGUGAAAAAGAACCUGAAACCGUGUACGUACAAGCAGUGGGAGCACGCUUAGGCGUGUGACUGCGUACCUUUUGUAUAAUGGGUCAGCGACUUAUAUUCUGUAGCAAGGUUAACCGAAUAGGGGAGCCGAAGGGAAACCGAGUCUUAACUGGGCGUUAAGUUGCAGGGUAUAGACCCGAAACCCGGUGAUCUAGCCAUGGGCAGGUUGAAGGUUGGGUAACACUAACUGGAGGACCGAACCGACUAAUGUUGAAAAAUUAGCGGAUGACUUGUGGCUGGGGGUGAAAGGCCAAUCAAACCGGGAGAUAGCUGGUUCUCCCCGAAAGCUAUUUAGGUAGCGCCUCGUGAAUUCAUCUCCGGGGGUAGAGCACUGUUUCGGCAAGGGGGUCAUCCCGACUUACCAACCCGAUGCAAACUGCGAAUACCGGAGAAUGUUAUCACGGGAGACACACGGCGGGUGCUAACGUCCGUCGUGAAGAGGGAAACAACCCAGACCGCCAGCUAAGGUCCCAAAGUCAUGGUUAAGUGGGAAACGAUGUGGGAAGGCCCAGACAGCCAGGAUGUUGGCUUAGAAGCAGCCAUCAUUUAAAGAAAGCGUAAUAGCUCACUGGUCGAGUCGGCCUGCGCGGAAGAUGUAACGGGGCUAAACCAUGCACCGAAGCUGCGGCAGCGACGCUGAUGCGUUGUUGGGUAGGGGAGCGUUCUGUAAGCCUGUGAAGGUGUGCUGUGAGGCAUGCUGGAGGUAUCAGAAGUGCGAAUGCUGACAUAAGUAACGAUAAAGCGGGUGAAAAGCCCGCUCGCCGGAAGACCAAGGGUUCCUGUCCAACGUUAAUCGGGGCAGGGUGAGUCGACCCCUAAGGCGAGGCCGAAAGGCGUAGUCGAUGGGAAACAGGUUAAUAUUCCUGUACUUGGUGUUACUGCGAAGGGGGGACGGAGAAGGCUAUGUUGGCCGGGCGACGGUUGUCCCGGUUUAAGCGUGUAGGCUGGUUUUCCAGGCAAAUCCGGAAAAUCAAGGCUGAGGCGUGAUGACGAGGCACUACGGUGCUGAAGCAACAAAUGCCCUGCUUCCAGGAAAAGCCUCUAAGCAUCAGGUAACAUCAAAUCGUACCCCAAACCGACACAGGUGGUCAGGUAGAGAAUACCAAGGCGCUUGAGAGAACUCGGGUGAAGGAACUAGGCAAAAUGGUGCCGUAACUUCGGGAGAAGGCACGCUGAUAUGUAGGUGAAGCGACUUGCUCGUGGAGCUGAAAUCAGUCGAAGAUACCAGCUGGCUGCAACUGUUUAUUAAAAACACAGCACUGUGCAAACACGAAAGUGGACGUAUACGGUGUGACGCCUG
rnacentral:rRNA from 1 species